UUGGUUUAGUUCUUGUUCUUUUUAACUCAUAGGCUGCCAGGCAUUUUCGAAGCAGAGUUCUGUUGGCACUACUCACAUCGAGUAACAAUACAAAUAAUAGAAUUUAAGCUAUGGCAAAAGACUUUCGGGCUUGAUUUGAAAUGCAGUUAGUUCUGUAGGUCCAACGGUUGUUUAUGUUAUUACACAACGCUUUCUGACUUUUUUUUUUCCCAUCUUGCACUCAACAAAUAUGCCACACAUAUAU